UCUCUGGAACAUAAGUAAUGUAUGUUCCCAGUUUGGAGAAAAUCAAUUGUGUACUUCUGAAGUUAUUCGGGUUUACACACACACGCGCGCACGCACGCACAACCUCACCUUUAUAUAAAUAGAUAAACGAAGCUUUCAGCAUGAAUAAUUUGCUAUUUUUACAUAAACAGAACACGAAAAUGAUUUGUGGCAAAGCAUCAAAAUUGAAAUAGAUAUGAUAUGUCGUUUAAUUCAAGGAAGUAAUGUUUCCAAGUCUGCCAUUUCACUAUUGCCACUGUGAAUUCACCAGAAAUUUCAUAAAACAAUAACGGCUGACAUUUCUGUAGGAAUUAACAUUUCAGGGUCAUUUUGAAUCUGAAGAAUCCAAUGAUCACAGAAAUUAUAAAGAACUCUUAUAUUUAAUCAGAAAAUAUGACGAAAAAUUGGUGAGUCAUCUUUAUACAGCUUCUGUUUCCUCAAGUCUCUCACACAGAAUUCAAAAUGACUUAAUCAAUGCAGUUCAAAAUGAUAUGUUGAUGAAAUAGAAAAUGAACUGAAGUAGGCUAAUAUUCUCAACGGUCAACUGUUUUAUGUUAUGUUACAAAAGAUUGUGUUAUUAAAUAAUGAUUUGUCAGUGUAGCAUGUCUGUACUAGCAUUAACUUAAAACAUAUAUUUUUAAUCUCAAGUAGGCUCAAAUGACACUGUUAGUUUACAGCUCUAUUUGAUCUGUGAUUGGCCGAAUAAACAGGCUCCUUCUAUUACAUCCGAACAGGCUCUCUCUGCUAUGUCUGUUUGUCACUUAUAUACUGUGGCUGCAGCCAUGUCCAUUUGAGUUCCUUCCUUCACUUCCAUAAGGACUCCCGGCUGGUAGUUUUGCUUUAUCGUGUUAGCACUGGCCUCUCUCACACAAGAACAAUUCUUCACCCAUGUGCGUCAGCAGAUUUGACCAAACUCAAUGUUGUUAUCUCUUACAUUUUCUAGAAACAUUUCUAUCAAGCCUCGGUCUUGAUAGAAAGUACAUCAAUGUCCACACACAUUCAUGAACUGCUAUCACACUAGACAUCUCUAUAAGAACACCGCUCACUUCUUCAAUAAUGUGUACCUAACCCACUACUACAAUAAACUUUAUAAUCUUAAAAGUCGAGUUGUUGUAUAUCACCGCACAGCUAUCGAACACAUGAACACAGUUGAUGACUGUCUGCCACACACUUCUAUCAACAAGUACUAUUGCCAACAUCGUCUGUUCAACCAAUGGCUAUGGAGUCAACCCGAUCUGAGAACAACUUUUGUUAAACUAAUAACCAACUGACAACGUUAAGCUGGUGGUAUUCUCAUACCCCCCUACACUAGUCAACCAGGCUGUAGACAUUCUAUUGUGUUAUAGCAACAAGCUACUAAGAUAGUGAACUCACCAUACUGGCGGUACCACCACUAAACUGAUGACCGAACAUUAUGUAAAAUUAGUGGGCUAAAAACUCAUUAUAAAGUGGUGACCCUUGACUAAAGAACACGCUAUACUAAUGACCUAGUACCUUCACUACAGUGGUAACUCCCUUCGCUACACUGAUGACCUUUGAUUAAAGAAAUUUCAGCCUUUUCCGAUGGAAGCCAUGGACUCAACUCCAGUUUCGCAUUUUUCACCUUCAGACAUUUUUGCACCAUUCUUUGUUCCAGGGAGAACUUUUCUGCUCAAAGAUGGUGUACAAACUUUCUCAUAACUGACACAGUUAUGUCCUUUUCU